rnacentral:lncRNA from 1 species
CCAGCUCUUCCAUUGCUCUCUCCUCCUCCUCGAUGGUGAACAGCGGGGGCACGCUUCUGCUCACUUUCUCCUCGCACCGUCUCCCCGAUCCGCCUGGGAGCCACCUGCACACAGCCGACUCGCUCUCCUUUGCCUCAGCUCGCCGUCCUCCUGCCGUCGCUCAGUGGCGAGACCACCACGACGCCGCUCGCUCUCCUCCCGUCGACCUCCUCCUCUCCUAGAUCUCUGCAGAGUGCCUCCUCCUGGACGACCUCGCGUGUGCGGUGCCCGCCGCUUCACAUAUCAGCGCAGCCACCUUGCUGCCGUCCGGGAGAGCCUCCCGACAGCAGUCGCUGGCCUCCCCAUUCUCCCCCGCGCCUGGCUUCCCUCCGCCUCGCCCUGCUUCCGUCACGCCGCCUCCGCGCCAGCAAGUCCCGACACCGGCGAGCCACUGCCCUUUGGGUGAAGCGGUGCUCCCGCGUAUGCACCUGUGGCGGGCCGGCUGGUUGAUUAGGCGCGCACUGCGGCCUCGGCUUCAAUUUUUGACUGGUUAGUCCUCCUUUCCGCUCAGCCCUCUUGUGGCAUACGAGUAGAAUUCACUUUGAUUAAUUAAUUACAUAUUAGAUCUGGUUUAGCGUUUUAGAACCGCUUUGGUCGCAAUUGGUAGAUUUAGUGGUAACCUCGCCUCACUCGAUGAUGGUUCAAUUGUCUCUGCUCCAAAUCUGCAGACUCUCUGCUCCAAAUGUGUGCCGAGCAUCUUCUUCAAUGACAUGUAAGUAACUGUCAGAAAGUAAUCCAAUUCAAGAAAGCAAGCUUGCACAAUGCAAUUUGCUGCUUGUUCAUAGAACCAUAAUUCCAAUCAUAAGUUCAACAAAGUUUUAGUAAGCAAAUCAGCUCACCGUCACAGCCACCAAUGUGUUCCCCAUUAAUGAAGACAUUGAGAACAGUCCUCUGCCCAGUCCAUUCAGCAAGAGCUAACUGAAUCUCAGGUCCAUCGCCUUGAUAAAAGAUAACAUGGGUUAGUUCAAUAAGAGUUUCUCCCAAGACCUGUGCCGAUCAUCCCAAUGCAGAGCCAAUACAUGAUGCAAUUAGAAGUUAGAACAUGCUUGACGUUUAUCAUGAGCAUCCAGUAAUCACUUAGCUACAAGCUGCAGAUGAGUAGUAGAGUAGUACGACCAGGAGCAGAGUGUAAAAAAACAUGUAUUGCUCAGAGCAUGUAAACACUAAAAAGAAGAGUAACUAAUCUGAGGUUUGGAUGAUAGCACUUAGAUUACAUAGUGCGUCAUAGUUGGGUGCGUGCGACCUCAAUUGCUUCUUCUUUGUUGCCAGAAAACUCAAUUGCUUCUUUAUUGUCUAACCAAUCAUCAAAGCUCCCAAGAGAUUUGAGAUCACACUCACAUCAUUACUUAGUGAGCUUACUGAUUACUUACAAAAUCAUUGUUCCAUAAAUGGUGUUGUCAUAAAUUCUUUUCCAGGCCACAGUAGUAUGAAGCUCUUAAACUGAAUAUGUAUAGUAUUCCAACAAAACAGUACACAGGGAAAUCCAAAUGCAGGAAAAUAACUUGCAUUAAGCUCUUAUAAACCCAGCAAGUACACCAUUUCAACGGAACAGUACACAGUAACAUCCGGAUGCAGGAAACUUAAGGUUAUUAUUCAUCUAAAUUAUUGGGAGCUCGAUACCAGCAAGCUGAGUCUGAUCAAACUAUCUACAUCACUGUUAGAUAUUGCAUAUUUUGUCUACCACUGUACAAUAUACAUGCAUCUGUGCUUGCGGCGGAGGCGAAGACGAGCCAUAGAGUUGUAGGAGCGAGCAGCAGAGCGAAGGGAGGCUCAGAAGAACAACUCUAGCAGGCGGCGCGGUGGAGCAGUAACGGCUACGCUCACCGAUGGUGGCGAGGCGUGGAAAACAAAGACCAUGAUUUCAACUCUUUGUGGACAUACCUCAAGCGUAGGAUCGGCCGACAAAUUUCCGGUGAACUGUGGAGCACUGUUGGAAGCCAGUAUGUUUUCUGUCGAAGUCUAACGAGGCAACAUUGGACGGUUUUCCGGCGAAGUAGGCGGAGACAACAUUGGACAUAUUUUGUCGGACGUCGUCUUGUUUUCUGGCGAAGUCUGCGAAGGCGAUAGUGGGCGGACUACCGGCGAAGGUGGACAGAAUUUGUCGGAUGACGUCUUGCUUUCCGGCGAAGUCGGCGGAGGAGACAUUGGGUGGACUUGAGGAGAAUUUGCAAUGCAAUUUAUGUGGAGUGUCGAAAUGUCUUGUAACCGGGAUUUCGAGACUGAUCGGGUCUUCCCGGGAGAAGGAAUAUCCUUCGUUGACCGUGAGAGCUUAUAAUGGGCUAAGUUGGGACACCCCUGCAGGGUGUUAUCUUUCGAAAGCCGUGCCCGCGGUUAUGUGGCAGAUGAGAAUUUGUUAAUAUCCGGUGGUAGAGAACUUGACACUUGACCUUAAUUAAAAUACAUCAACCGCGUGUGUAGCUGUGAUGGUCUCUUUUCGGCGGAGUCCGGGAAGUGAACACGGCUUUUGGGUUAUGUUUGACGUAAGUAGGAGUUCAGGAUCACUUCUUGAUCAUUGCUAGUUCACGACCGUUCCGUUGCUUCUCUUCUCGCUCUCAUUUGCGUAUGUUAGCCACCAUAUAAGCUUAGUGCUUGCUGUAGCUCCACCUCAUUACCCCAUCCAUUCCUUUAAGUUUAAAUAGUCUUGAUCUCGCGGGUGUGAGAUUGCUGAGUCCUCGUGACUCACAGAUACUUCCAAAAUAGUUGCAGGUGCCGAUGAUACCAGUGCAGGUGACGCAGCUGAGCUCAAGUGGGAGCUCGAUGAAGAUCUUGCUCUUUGUGUUGUUUCUUUUCAUGUUGUUCAGUAGUGGUGCCCAGUUGGGACGAUCGGGGAUCUAGCAGUUGGGUUGUCUUCUUUUCUUUUGGUUCUGUAGUCGGACCUAUGUGUGUACUCUGAUUGAUGUAUGAUUUAUUUAUGUAUUGUGUGAAGUGGCGAUUGUAAGCCAACUCUUUAUCCCAUUCUUGUUCAUUACAUGAGAUUGUGUGAAGAUGACCCUUCUUGCGACAAAACCAUAAUGCGGUUAUGCCUCUAAGUCGUGCCUCGACACGUGGGAGAUAUAGCCGUAUCGUGGGCGUUACAAGUUGGUAAUCAGAGCCAUCCCUGACUUAGGAGCCCCCCUGCUUGAUCGAAUCGCUGGCGUUGUUGAGUCUAGAACAAAAAUAUUUUGAGUCUUAGGAUUAUAUAUAUCAGAGAGUAGGAUUCUUUUUACUCCUCAGUCCCUUCGUCGCUCUGGUGAGGCCUCCUGACGUAGAAAUUUUGACUUUUCUCUCCUCAAAUUUCACUAAAAAAAAUUUAGGAUCACGCGGGCAUCUUGGAAUCGCUUCGAUGGUUUUGUGACGAGAACAUUGUUCUUGGUGCCUCCUGACAUUUAGGGGUUGUGGCAGUGUCCCGGGGAGUUGAGCUCCGAGGUGUUGUCGUCACAAUUUUAUCGUUGCAGUUCUGGAAUACCUGAGUUUCGCCGACAUCGAAAUCUCUUUUAUGCAGUUGUUGGUGAGAUCACCUCGACGCCAUCCAGUACUGGGGCGGGAGUUCGGGAGUAUUGCCAUAACUCGUAUAACGGAUGCUUUUCGAAGGUUGAGGUAAAUGAUUUUCGAAGGUUUCUUGGUUAUGUGUUGAAGGAUGGAUACAGCUGGAUCUAGGUAUUGUUAGUUUGGGUGAUAUAUUUUGUGUCCCCUGUAUCCCCAACAUCUGAUUGCAUAACCAGAAAGUUUCGGGAGUUUAUAAGUGGGAAUUCAAGUAGCUCCUAGGAUAUCUUUCCGACAGAUGCAUGAUAUGAGAUUGGGGUUCGACGUCUAGUGAUCCGCCUUUCCACGGUUGGUUUUACAGUGGUCUCGUAGUGUCUUAAAGAGUCCUUGGCUAUGCCGACUCGGGGACGCUUCGUAUGUCAUGUGCACUGCCUUGUACAUGAUGGUGCUGUACGAUCGAGCCCGUGUGGGCCCCACCACGAAAACUUCGGACGAGAUCUCUAUCAUAUGUUUGUUCCGGCUUAUUCUGCAAGCCAAAUCCUUUGUUUUUUGUUUUGUUUUGUUUUGUGGUUUUCGAGUUGCUUCAAUGACAAGUGUUGAUUCCAUACCUUAUCCUAAGUGGUGUUCUCAUAUUUAUAUGUGGAUGCUAAUCCUUCUUCAUCUUCAAGGUUGUCUUUUCAAUUCUUUUCAACCGGUGUGCUUCUCUUCAAGCGGAUCCGAUCGUUUCAACAUUCGCGAGAUCAAUUCUAAGUUUUCUCAACGGUAUCCAUUCCAUCUGCCCCAAGUUGCCUUUGUUUUUCCGCCCUCCCAUCCUCUUUCUUCAAGGACUCAGAUUUCUUAAUCAAGUAUCAUUUUUAUUGAUACGAAGUCUCUUUAUUCUUUUCUUUCAAUGUUCUUAUCCGGUGAUUUUCUCAUGAAGAUACUAACGGAGCUUCAAGUUUAUUAUUCUUCGUUCUUUUUCUUCUCCGGUGGACUCAAGUCAAGCUUUCAGUGUUGAUCGUAUUCUUUUCCUCGUUUCAAAUGUUUUUCUCAUGCCGGUGUAUCUCUUAAUCAUUCACCUCUCGCAUUGCCAUUCCCAAUCCGUUCAAGCUUUCUCGAGGUUGUUAUCUCUUUCAAGCCAUUUAAUUCAACCGGCUUAAUCUCUCUUUUAAAUUGUUCAACGGUGUUUCUCUUGAGUGGGCCCUAACCCACAGGUAUUUUCCCAGAAUCUUACCUGACUCUUCUAAUCUUUCUGGAGUCAUUCUCAAAUUCAUUGCAAAGUGACGUAAGAAUGAAUUAUCAUCAGUCAAAUGUCUUUCUCCAAGAUCUUUCAAAUUCUUUUCAUUGUUGGUUCAAUCUUUCUAAUUGUCAUUCCGGAGUGCCUCAAUAAUUCAUGGUGGUGUUUCUCAUCAUCAUUCUCAACAUUUGAAGACCGAAGAACAAUUUCUCCUAAAUCUUGGUCCGUUCUCUUGAAGAUUCAUAGUUCUAGCUUAUGCCAUCCUCUCAUAAUUGUUUUCGAUUGUGAGAAUUCUUUUCUUACCCAUCCGAAGCAUUUCAGAGUUGUUUUCAUUUCUUGAUCAUCCAAAGGCCAUCAUUUCAGAAAGAAUUAUUCAUUCAAGCUUUCAGCUCUCGUUCUCCAAAUCAUACCGGUGCAUCACUCAAAUAUCCUCUAAUCAGUUCAUGAUCGCUUCGUUCUCGUGUAUCUAAAUUCUGUCAAGUAUCUUCAUUCAUUUUCUAAUUCUUUCUGUUGAAUUGUGCCUUUGCUACUUUCAUUUUCAAUUCUCGCGGUGGUUCGUUCAAGAUUUCUCUUCCCUCGUUAUCAUAUCAAUUCAUUCGUUGUUUCCAAAUCCUACCGGUGGUUCGAUGAAGACCUUCCUAAGUUGAGCAAUAUCCCUCUUUAAUCCUUUCGACGAGAAUAAGUAGUAUGACAAAUCCAUUGCUUGCCAUCAAUUAAUUGGUGAAGGACGAGCAUAAUGUAAUUCUUAUUUUUGUUUCAUCGAGUAAAUUCAACUCCUUAUUCCGGAGGUUCAUCAAAAUUCUUGAUUUCAUUUGUUCAUUUUUCUUUCCGGAGUUCCAAGUUUUUCUCGGUUAUAUCAUAUCAAAGCUUCAUCUAAAUCAUUGCAAGGCUUCACCUUGUGUUGUCAACUUCUCUUUCUUUCUAUCAUCCUUUUGUAUACCGGAGUUCUUCAUGGAGGCUCUACAUGGUGCUUCGUCAAGGAUUCCUUUCAUUCUUCAAUUGUUCUUCAAGAUUUCUCUCGGAGUCAAGAUCCGUCAAGCUAUACUCUAAAAUAAACAUGGUGCUUAACACAUGUCUCUCUUGAGGAGUUCAAGCAUUCUUCAUCUCGCAUUCCAAAGUGCAAUUCUUUCUACCUUAUCGUUUGAGAUGGUGCUAUGUCAUUCUGGAUAAUUUCCCUUCGGGUUCAUGAUUCACAAAGUUUUCAAGAGUGACAUAUCUAAAUCCAUCAUUUUGUCUUCGUUCAAGAGGUCUUUUCAACCAAUCAAUCUUUUUGUUGGAGUUGUAUUGGGUUAUAUUUCACCUAUAGCCUCCCCUAAGGAAUGUAGCUAUUUGUGGUGUUUAUCAAUGAUCCAAAUUUUCUCCUAUCCUCUUGGUGAAGAAGUUUUCAUCUCCUUGUUGAUCCCAAUUCAAUCAAUCAUUGUUUCCGUUAGUGGCAGUUUGUCACCUCAUAAUGUUGAGAUGUUUCCAUAAGCCCACUACAAGCUUUUUCUUUUCGCUGUUGGUUUCCAACAACUCCGUUCAAUCCUACUUCGUAAGGAUGCUCUUUAAAAUUCAUUUAUGGUAGGAGAUGUUGGUUUCACUCUUCGUUCUAUUCACUCCAACUAUCUAACUAUCAUGCAUUGUUUCCGGAGGCUUUGUGAUGUUGCUCUCUUCGACCAAUCAUCUUGUUUUGUCAAGAUCAUGUGUACUUUUCCUUUCUUAUCCGUUUAGCCGGAGCGUCGUGUUUUCAUUCGAGUUCUCUCAUCUUAUCAAGUUUUGUCUCCUUUUCAACCGGAGUGCUGUCUGAAAUCUUUCCUACCCCUUGUGACAUUCUUUCAUUAGUUCCGGAGGAAAUGUGUUGUUAAUUUCAUCGAGUAUCCUCUCAUCUUGUCAAGAUCAUGUUCAAUUCCUUCCAUUUACAGUCGGAGUGCUGUCCAAAUUAUAUCAUUCUUAUUCCUUCUUUAUCUUGUUUUAACUGGAGUGUUGUGUAUAUCAUUCCUCUUCUAACCGGAGUCUCAUCCAAGUGCUUUCAUUUUGCCAAGUUCAUAUUCUAUGCUUUCCAUUUUCCAACCGGAGUGUUGUCGUAAUGGAUCCUUAUCGUUCCUUGUACAUCUCUUUUCAACCGGAGUGCUUGCAUGUACUUCUUGUCCAUUGUAACCCGUAAUGUUCCUUGUUCCUUUUUUCUAACGGUUUGUUUUCAACUUUGUUCAUCUUCGUUGUUUUCUCUCUUUUAAUUCGUUCAACGGUUCGUGGUUUCACUCGUUUGUCAAAGAAGCAACUCAGUUUACCUCUCCUCUUCCUUUUCUGCUUCUCUCCGGUGCCAUCCUAGAUCUCGGGACGAGAUCCUUUUGUAGUGGUGGAGUGUUGUAACGCCCCAAGACCGACGCUUCAGAAGACUUCCAUAUUUUUCGUGAUCACCGUGUGUUUCUUUUGGUGCUUGCUCUUUUAUUUUUGCAUUGCAUCAUGUCAUCAUGCCAUCAUGUCAUUUAAUUUUUAAAAAACUCAACUAAGUAAAUUGCAUGGAUCUUCGAUCCAUUUAAAUCGAGGGAAAUGCACAUGGUGAUUUCUCUUUAUAACAUAUAUCCUCCCAAUAUUGUUAGGGAGCUAUAUUAAAAUAUUCCACUAAUUGGAGUUCACCAUAACACACUUGCAAAUAUCCCAAUGCCUUUGUUAUCUUAAUUCUUGGUCUCCAACCUUGCCAUUUAUUCUUUCAUCAUAUUCCGGAGCUCCACCAAAAAUCCGAACAUUUUUGGACCUUACCAACCCUCACUUCCUAUUCAAAUCAUUUGAAUUUAAAUCAAAUGAGUUUGAAUUUAAAUCUUUCAAUCAUGGCCUUUUCUAUUUUCUCGAAACAAGCACAUUGUUGUGAGUCUGGAAAAAUUAUCCGCGUGUCCAACUUCUUCCCCAACACCUCCUUUCUUCUUCUUUUCUUCUUUGUUAUUUUCUGUUUUAGAAAAUAAGAGAGUAGGGUGAAAGAGAGAACCAGGCCGACCCAUCCCCACAGGCCCAGGCGUUGGCCUCCAACAGCCCAGUCAUCCCCAUCUUAACCCUAGCCUCCUCCCGAUCCCCUCGCUCUCUCCCUCAAUGCCCCAUCCAGCGCCGCCAGGAGCCCCGAUCCCCAUCUCCCUCCGCUCGAUCUCCUCCUCACCCUCUCUAUCUCCUAGCGCGCGCCCCCUUCGCCUGCCUGCUCCCUCUUGCUUCUUCGACCUCGCCUCGCCCCGCGACCCCGCCGCCGCUCCGGCCGGCGAGCCCAUGCUCCGGCGCCGCCGUCCUCGUGCUGCAACGCUGCCGGCAAGCCCUGCCUCUGCCUCCUCCUUCCCCGCGCGUGAGAUGCUCUCCUCCGCCAGCCACCUCCCGCUCACCUCCUUCUUCUCUUCCUCGCGCGCCCGCGACCAUGGCUGCCUUGUCAUCAAGCUCGCCUUCGUCUCCCUGGUGGCCGACUGCGUCGACCUCCUCUGCAAGGACAAGCCACUGCUGCUGCCACCACCACCACCUUGCUCCGUCGCUCGCCUCCCCCACGACCUCGCGUCGCCCCGCUGCCCGAGCCGUCCUCUCCGCCUUCCUCCUGCGCGGCACACACAUGCCCCGCGCCUCACCUCCAUGGCCUUCUGCCCGAGCCACCACGACCACGUGCGCCUCCUUCAUGGUUGCUGUGCUGUCGGUUUUUCAUGCCUCGUCCUGCUGCUGUGGGUGCCUCGCGAGCCGCCGAUGUCCUCGCGAGCUGCUCUGUCCGAUAGGGCUCCCUUCCAAGACGAGCUGGCUGCCCCGUUGGCCCUGCUGCCUUUGUCGUGGCCAAGUCAAGCCAGACGCCCGGAGUACAUCUUUGGUUGCACACCAAGUCGGCCAUGCCUUGCUGCCUCCUGUACACUGUUGGUCAACAGUUGAUGCACGCCAAGUACUUUGACUACAGCCGAUGCCCCGAGGACACAGAGUAUGACUACACACGGCGAUGCGUCAAGUUCCACUACCGUCGACCCCAUGGACCGCCAAGUUCUUCUACCAAUGACUCGAUCGUCUUCAAACGUGUACAACUAACGUCGCCAGCCCGCGAGUGCCACUACUUCCCACGACGACCCAUGAACAACUACUUACACUUCGAACCCGUCCGCCCCGAGACGUACGCUUCAAAGGUAUAAUGACGAGACGACCGCCCGUGUACGAAUGCAUGUUGUCUGAGAUGAACCGUAUGUUUGCACCGUGCCCGUUUGCUUCAUGCACGUUCCUCCUCGGUUGCCAUGCCGUCGACCUGUGGGAACCCGGUAACCGGGAUCACCCCACCAUCUUUUGCAUGUUCCGCACAUCCGCACACUUGCUCUUUUGCACCGGUAUCUCCGUGAGCUAUCAGAACCGAUAUGUUGCCGUGGCAUCAUUUUCGGAUUCGUUGCCGUGGCACCCUUUUCCUUCCGCCACGGUGACAAAUGCCUCGUAUCAUGCUCAUGUCAACAUUUUCAUAAAAAAAUUGCUUAAAACUUGCAUUGUCAUCCGCAUCAUGAUAACAACAUUCAAAUGUUUAAAAUUGUUGUUUGCUUUAAAUUGCUAAUUGACAUGAGGAUUUUUCGGAAUUAUUGUUUGUUGUUCCGGCCUCAUUUAAAUUGUCUAGAUAGUUAGUUUACUUAUGCUUCACCUCUUGCCAUGAUAAUCAACAUUUAAUAUUGUUGGGUACAUAAACGGGAGGGAACCAAAUAAUUAAAUAUGGUGUUUCGUCAAUAUGCAACUCGUUGCAUAUUGAGCUCCAUUUAAUUUGUAGUGUUGUUUGUUGCACUUUGCCAUGCCAUGCUCAUUAAAUCGGACAUGCAUCAUACUUGACUGUGCAUCAUGCCAUGUGUAUGUGGUGGUUGUUUACUAUGUUGUUUGUUUCUUUCCGGGUUGCUUCUCUCGUUAGCUUCGGUUUCUUUCCGGAGUUGGGAGGAUUCGUUCGACUCCGUCUGUUUGUCUUCUUCAUGGACUCGUUCUUCUUCCUAGCGGGAUUUCAGGCAAGAUGGCCAUACCCUCGAAAUCACUUCUAUCUUUGCUUGCUAGUUGUUCGCUCUAUUGCUAUGCCGCGUUACCUACCACUUGCUAUAUCUUGCCUCCCAAAUUGCCAUGAAACCACCUCUAACCUUUGUCACCCUUCCUAGCAAACCGUUGUUUGGCUAUGUUACCGCUUUUGCUUAACCCCUCUUAUAGCGUUGCUAGUUGCAGGUGAAGAUGAAGAUUGCUCCAUGUUGGAUUAUGUUUAUGUUGGGAUAUCACAAUAUCUCUUAUUUAAUUAAUGCAUCUAUAUACUUGGUAAAGGGUGGAAGGCUCGGCCUUAUGCCUGGUGUUUUGUUUCACUCUUACCGCCCUAGUUUCCGUCAUACCGGUUUUAUGUUCCUUGAUUUUGCGUCCCUUACGCGGUUGGGUGAUUUAUGGGACCCCCUUGACAGUUCGCUUUGAAUAAAACUCUUCCAGCAAGGCCCAACCUUGGUUUUACAUUUGCCUCACCUAGCCUUUUUCCCUUGGGAGUUGCGCAUCCCGAGGGUCAUCUUUAUUUUAACCCCCCGGGCCAGUGCUUCUCCAAGUGCUGGUCCAAACCGAGCGAUGUCCGGCGCCCCCUGGGCAAUCAGGGUCUAUGCCAACCCGACGUCUGUCUCAUCCGGUGUGCCCUGAGAACGAGAUAUGUGCAGCUCCUAUCGGGAUUUGUCGGCACAUCCGGGCGGCUUUGCUGGUUUUGUUUUACCAUUGUCGAAAUGUCUUGUAACCGGGAUUCCGAGACUGAUCGGGUCUUCCCGGGAGAAGGAAUAUCCUUCGUUGACCGUGAGAGCUUAUAAUGGGCUAAGUUGGGACACCCCUGCAGGGUAUUAUCUUUCGAAAGCCGUGCCCGCGGUUAUGUGGCAGAUGGGAAUUUAUUAAUAUCCGGUGGUAGAGAACUUGACACUUGACCUUAAUUAAAAUAUAUCAACCGCGUGUGUAGCCGUGAUGGUCUCUUUUCGGCGGAGUCCGGGAAGUGAACACGGCUUUUGGGUUAUGUUUGACGUAAGUAGGAGUUCAGGAUCACUUCUUGAUCAUUGCUAGUUCACGACCGUUCCGUUGCUUCUCUUCUCGCUCUCAUUUGUGUAUGUUAGCCACCAUAUAAGCUUAGUGCUUGCUGCAGCUCCACCUCAUUACCCCAUCCUUUCCUUUAAGCUUAAAUAGUCUUGAUCUCGCGGGUGUGAGAUUGCUGAGUCCUCAUGACUCACAGAUACUUCCAAAACAGUUGCAGGUGCCGAUGAUACCAGUGCAGGUGACGCAGUUGAGCUCAAGUGGGAGCUCGAUGAAGAUCUUGCUCGUUGUGUUGUUUCUUUUCAUGUUGUUCAGUAGUGGUGCCCAGUUGGGACGAUCGGGGAUCUAGCAGUUGGGUUGUCUUCUUUUCUUUUGGUUCCGUAGUCGGACCUAUGUGUGUACUCUGAUUGAUGUAUGAUUUAUUUAUGUAUUGUGUGAAGUGGCGAUUGUAAGCCAACUCCUUAUCCCAUUCUUGUUCAUUACAUGGGAUUGUGUGAAGAUGACCCUUCUUG